CUACGGGAGGCUGCAGUGAGGAAUAUUGCACAAUGGGGGCAACCCUGAUGCAGCAACGCCGCGUGGAGGAUGACGCAUUUCGGUGUGUAAACUCCUUUUAUCAGAGAAGAACCAUGACGGUAUCUGAUGAAUAAGCUCCGGCUAACUCCGUGCCAGCAGCCGCGGUAAUACGGAGGGAGCAAGCGUUAUUCGGAAUCACUGGGCGUAAAGGACGCGUAGGCCGGUCUGUAAGUCAGGUGUGAAAUGCAAUGGCUCAACCAUUGAACUGCACUUGAAACUGCGGACCUAGAGUAUGGAAGGGGCAGAUGGAAUUAGUGGUGUAGGGGUAAAAUCCGUAGAUAUCACUAGGAAUACCGAAAGCGAAGGCGACCUGCUGGGACAUAACUGACGCUGAGGCGUGAAAGCGUGGGGAGCAAACAGGAUUAGAUACCCUAGUAGUC
rnacentral:rRNA from 1 species